AUCUCCCUGGUCCCACGUUAUCAGUAGCUUAUAGUCUUGAGUAUGCAAAGGCCGAGGCGGAGAUGCAGGAAGACGCUGUUUCUGCAGGACAGAAGGUCCUGAUCGUUGAUGAUUUACUGGCUACUGGAGGAACCCUGUAUGCGGCAGAAGGCAGAG